AAAAAGACAAACCCUGGGUUUCCAUGUCUAACUUUGACUGUCCGUCUUAUAUGAAUUUUUUUUAUAAUUCGUAUUUUUAUUAUUGUUAGAUGAUAAAACAUGAUUAAUACUUUGUGUGUGACUUUUCUUUUUUAUUUUUUUCAUAAUUUUUUCAAAUAAGAUGGUCGGUCAAACGUUAGGCACGGAAACCAGGGUUUGUCUUUUU
rfam:Oryza sativa Japonica Group DNA, chromosome 6, cultivar: Nipponbare, complete sequence.